GGGUUGGGUUUGACUCUCGACACGGCGCGGAAACCGAACAUCCCAUCCCGGUUUCUGGUGAUGUCAUUGAUGUCAGCUGGUUCGAAUAUCAGCUCCAUGGACGAGUUGGAGUGGUUCUUGUGGGAUGUUGAUGGCCUAUCCGCUCAAUGCCGGCUUUUCAACAGAAAAUGAGUCAGGUAAUUAACUAGUUACUGGUAUGUUUGGCCUUGCGCUCUACCAGUCAGCUCCAGCAGAAGGAAUAUUUCAAACAGGUCCUCGAGCACAGGUGACCGUGGUGCGGCGGACUGAAUAAAUGGAUUCGAAACGAGGAUUUACCCGGUUCUUCGAGACUUCUUUCAAUAUACCAUGUGAUCAUUUCUAUUGACGGUUUCCUUUACGUUACAUUUGCAAGUUUUGAUUUGGCGCUUUCCGAGAGAUUGACUAGAUCAGGGGGAAAAAAAAUAAGUUUAUUGACCCCUAGAGCAGAAACGGUACUGGCUGAACUGCCAACUAAUCCUCCGCACUCGGCACAAAUAAACGCAGAAGGCAUGGUCACAUAUCAAACGAAUCCAGGGGAUUAUAGGAGAAGUUCCAGGAGUGUAGAAGCAAAAAAAGGUGGGAGAUAGCAUGGGGAUGAGAUAAUUCCUUAUUCCCAUGCCAGAAACAAAGAGAAACAAAAGGUGCAAGAGUGAUCCUUUCAGUCAGCCACCCGUGCGGAUAAGAAUGCCUCUCUGUUCUUAAAAGUGACAUAUUGUAAUGAGCGCGCCGUGAAUUAAAAAAAGGAGAACGGAAGGUAAUAUAAUAAUAAGGGGGCAACGACGGAGAGAAAAUCUUCAAGAGAAUAGUACACAAUAAUCAUAAUCAGCAAAGAAACUAGGAGCAAUAAGGCAUAGGGGUGUUAACGAGAAAGGGACAGCGGGAAUUAACAGUAAAAAUUAAUAGUAAAAAAAAAAAAAAAUAGAGCGGAACUGGAUGAAAUAGAAGAAGAGAGUAUGUAUGAGAACAGAAACAACCAUAAAACGGAUAUCAGCAAAGAUAAAACUGACCUCUUGCUGUAGGAUAGAAUCAUGCAGGUGGUGAUAUUGAUGAAAAAAAGCAGCCGGCAAAAAGCAAAGAAAAGAAAACAGAUAAAUUCCCCCACUUUAGUUAAUCCUUCCUCAUUCCCCACCCCGCUGCAAACAAGCAAGGGAGCAUAAAAUGAUAACCCAUGAAGAAAAUACCACCAAACAGUCACGAAACACAGCAGGAUUAUAGAAAUAUCUAUGCAAAUCAAGAUAUACAAAUAUCUAUGCAAAAACGCGAAGGAUGCCGCUAUGAGAUGGACAAGGAAAGAUAAUCAUAAUGCACAACAAACAAAAAAAAAGAUAUCGAGGUGGCCGAAAAGCAAAUCAAGUCCAUAAAACUACGUCCAAACUCCGCAAGAAGCGAGCCAAUAAGUUCAAAGCCAAAGAUAAUUAAUUAAUUGAUGAG
rnacentral:sRNA from 1 species